rnacentral:rRNA from 1 species
UAAAGCGUGCGCAGGCGGUUAUGUAAGCAGAUGUGAAAUCCCCGGGCUCAACCUGGGAACUGCAUUAGUGACUGCAUAGCUGGAGUACGGCAGAGGGGGAUGGAAUUCCGCGUGUAGCAGUGAAAUGCGUAGAUAUGCGGAGGAACACCGAUGGCGAAGGCAAUCCCCUGGGCCUGUACUGACGCUCAUGCACGAAAGCGUGGGGAGCAAACAGGAUUAGAUACCCUUGU